rnacentral:rRNA from 1 species
UACGAAGGGGGCUAGCGUUGUUCGGAAUUACUGGGCGUAAAGCGCACGUAGGCGGCUUUCUAAGUCGGGGGUGAAAUCCUGGAGCUCAACUCCAGAACUGCCUUCGAUACUGGAGAGCUUGAGUCCGGGAGAGGUGAGUGGAACUGCGAGUGUAGAGGUGAAAUUCGUAGAUAUUCGCAAGAACACCAGUGGCGAAGGCGGCUCACUGGCCCGGUACUGACGCUGAGGUGCGAAAGCGUGGGGAGCAAACAGG